UGAAGAGGGAGAGCCUGAGGACCAUGAGGCUCCAUCAAAAGGUAAAUUCAACUGGAAGGGGACCAUUAAAGCUGUUCUGAAACAGGCUCCAGACAACGAGAUAUCAGUCAAGAAGUUAAAGAAAAAGGUAUAUCCUGCAGCCAAAUCAGGUUAUAGCUCAGUACCAUGCGGUGAUGAGUGACCAUCACACAUCGGAGGAGGAGCUCCUGGCCAUCUUCAACAAGAAGAUCAGCAGGAACCCCACCUUUAAGGUGCUGAAGGACAAAGUUAAGCUUCUGAAGUGAGGGCUCUGUUGCGUCACACUCUACCAUCCUAUUGGCUACUUUCCUCUCUUUGUAAAAUGUGUAAUGAAUUCUAACAGCCGGAAGAUUGCUUCCUGAAACUUUUUAAGUUAAGGAAAAAAUAUAUUUUUGUUAAAACUUUUAUGAAAAAAUAAAAUAUAUCCUUGUC
rnacentral:lncRNA from 1 species